GAUUUGAGGGUAGGGAUAACUUUUUUAGCAGUUUUGAUCUUCUCUGUUUUGAUCUUCUCUUCUUUCUGAUUCUUUAAUUGUUCACCAUCGUUUCAAGUAAACAAAGCUCAUCAUGGUUGAGAUCACUGGCCAAAGUUCCACCAUAGCAGUGGGAAACACAAUUGACUCAUUGCAGGAGAACAAGGCACACCGUUGAUAAAUGUUACAAGUUACAUGGCUAUCCUAACCAGAACACCAAUUGUACUGGACAAUCUUUCAAUCAGAAAGAUACACCAAUACUCAGAAUCAAAGAGAAUCAGUCAACAAUCAAAACCACAAGUUUGCUAAGGGUAAAGGAGUAGUAGCUAAUGUUUUUGCAGAUGAUAUAGGAGUAAUUGAUGAAUCUCCAUAUGCCAAUCUCACUAGUGAACAAUAUAGCCAGCUUAUUAGUCUAUUGCAGCAUUUUCAGUUGGGGAAAAUAGGAGAUGGAAACAAUGUGGAGUUCGAAACUUUGCAGAGCCAACCUUAUGCUCACCUCUGAACACUUCAAGUUGCUGCUCUUUGGUGCAAUCAAGAAGUAUGAUGGAGACGCAAGGUAACCAGGAUCAGUAUCCAGCGCCUCGUUGACCAAGUUUCAGCACUCAGAGUCAGUGGUGAACCUCCUUAAAUUAUGAAGUAUCCUUGUUAUUGCUUUUCAAUCUUUCAUUUAGAAAAUGUUGUGGGAUUUGUCGCAACAUUCAUCAUAGUAUUUUCAGAGGCUCCAUAGACAGAUACUCAGUUAGUUCAGUUGAGUUUUUUUAUUUCAGAUUUUAUAUUUUGAGACUUAAGUGUAAUUUUGACCAAGACACUAAUUUAAGUUAUUUAUGAGAA